UACAGAGACUGCAAGCGUUAUUCGGAUUCACUGGGCGUAAAGGGUGCGCAGGCGGCCAAGUGUGUCAGGUGUGAAAUCCUGAGGCUUAACCUCGGAACUGCGCCUGAAACUACUUGGCUAGAGUACUGGAGAGGGUAACGGAAUUCACGGUGUAGCAGUGAAAUGCGUAGAUAUCGUGAGGAACACCAGAGGCGAAGGCGGUUACCUGGACAGUUACUGACGCUCAGGCACGAAAGCGUGGGGGAGCAAAAAGGG
rnacentral:rRNA from 1 species